rnacentral:rRNA from 2 species
GCUUGCUUCUAUGACGUUAGCGGCGGACGGGUGAGUAACACGUGGGCAACCUGCCUGUAAGACUGGGAUAACUUCGGGAAACCGAAGCUAAUACCGGAUAGGAUCUUCUCCUUCAUGGGAGAUGAUUGAAAGAUGGUUUCGGCUAUCACUUACAGAUGGGCCCGCGGUGCAUUAGCUAGUUGGUGAGGUAACGGCUCACCAAGGCAACGAUGCAUAGCCGACCUGAGAGGGUGAUCGGCCACACUGGGACUGAGACACGGCCCAGACUCCUACGGGAGGCAGCAGUAGGGAAUCUUCCGCAAUGGACGAAAGUCUGACGGAGCAACGCCGCGUGAGUGAUGAAGGCUUUCGGGUCGUAAAACUCUGUUGUUAGGGAAGAACAAGUACGAGAGUAACUGCUCGUACCUUGACGGUACCUAACCAGAAAGCCACGGCUAACUACGUGCCAGCAGCCGCGGUAAUACGUAGGUGGCAAGCGUUAUCCGGAAUUAUUGGGCGUAAAGCGCGCGCAGGCGGUUUCUUAAGUCUGAUGUGAAAGCCCACGGCUCAACCGUGGAGGGUCAUUGGAAACUGGGGAACUUGAGUGCAGAAGAGAAAAGCGGAAUUCCACGUGUAGCGGU